ACAAAUGUCAGAGACAAGUGGCAGCGGACACUCGACAGGAAAGCUGUAGUGUUGCGCCAACAAGCAGGCACACAGCAAAGCAGCGGGAAAUGUGUGCGAAACAGUUACGCACCAGCUGCAAGGGGAGACUGAGCCGUUCUAUGUAGAUAUAUAUUUUUUAUGUGGCAGUCAGUCAGUGACAUUUGCGUAAAUGUCAAGGGACAAAACUCAUAAAGUGUGUGAACAAGUGGGAACAAGCAAAAAGAAGAUAAAAAAAAGAACUUCAGAACGACACAACGACUGUUGAUUGUCAACGGCGCAUAUGACUCAUUCGAGGCCGAAGCGACGAGCAAUACACGAGCACAAACGGACUCUUGUAAUUCACGGAGUCAGUCAUUAAAACUCACUCGCACUUGAUUUUCCCUGCUUCACCCUUCUUGUUUGUAUGUGCCCGCUCUGCAUACUGCUCUGUUGUCCAGAUUUGCAGAAGGUUGGAAAAUGCAUGAAAAAUUUUUGUUUGAAAUAAAAAUUAUACUGGACCGCAGAAGUAAAAAGAACAGACAACAUUUUUUAAACAAAUAUUAUGCUUGUGAAAAUGUUGCUUAACAAAUUAGGGCCACACAGCGAAGUGUAAUUCAACAGAAAAAAAAUUACCAUCUUUCCAAACUUGUACCGAAACAUGUUGCAAGGAAUUGUAUACAUUACAGGUAACAUGUUGCUUGAUGCUUAGAGAGUAAAAACAGCUUUAUAACUAUAAUUACAAAUCAAAUUAAAAAAAAGUUUUCGCAACUAAAAUGUUGCCAAUAAAUGUUGCGGCUGCAUUGA